GCCCCUAUAGCUCAGUGGUAGAGCGCAGCACUUGUACCCAUUCUUUGUGACAACAUAAUGCUGAGGUCCAUCGUUCAAUCCGGUGUGGGGGCA